CCUCCCAAAGUACUGGGAAUGCUGGCGCGUGCCAGGGGUGGGGGUGGGGCAGGCGGCGAUUGGGGUGGAACCUAGGGCUUCCUGAGUGCUAGGUGAGCACUCUACCAACUGAGCUACAUCCCCAACCCUUAACAAUGUUUUAAACUUUUCUUUUGUUUACUUUGUUACGUUGCCAUGUACACCAACACAGUUUUAAAGUUUCAAGACCCCUUUUCUUUUCGAAUGUAGCUGCUCUCAACAGAAGCUUUAUGUUCAGGAAAUUAUGUUCAUAACAACUUCUAACAAACAGAAAUUUGUCCCCACGCAGGCAUGCUGCAUUUUCUUCUAAUUUACUGGGCUAUCGUUUCUCAAGACAGUGUUGAGUAAAGGUUCUAAUGAGGAAGACAGGAUCUCCUUGCUAUGUCCACGAUGCCUAAGAAUGUUAUCACCAGGAAAAGCAGUUCAAGCAGGCUAUCUGUGCCAGCCUCCUUAGGGUGUUGCUGUUGUCCCGAGCUGUGUCAUAGCUAUUAUUGAGUACAUAAUGGAUGCUUGGGUUGACUAACACAUGCUUGAAGCUGUAGAAGAAACUCAAAGCCAGUUGCCUGCUCAUGUUUUUGUUUACCAGAAUGGCAGAAGUGAUUUAAAUGAAAGCUUUUGUUUACUCAGCACCAGUAGAUUCUAAAGUCGAUACAGUUCUGCAAACUAAGCAGAUAGGUGAAUUUUUACGCACAAAUCUGUUACACGAACCAAGGAUAACAGGAAUACCCAUCUUCAAUAAAUCAAAAAGCCUUGGAUAUCCAGACAUCUAGAGCAGAAAGGAAGAAUCUGUUGGUACCAAUAUAUACAGGGUAAUAUCUCACUGCCUAACAUCAAUAUCUCUUUAACUCUAGAAAAGUUGUGGUCCUGAUUCAAUUAUAAAUCAAGCUGGUUUUGGAGUUGGAAUGUGGCUCUCUCCUUCUCUAAGCCCAAGCAUGUUGCUGAAAGAAAAAUAUAAGAGAUUCUGUCACAUAUCAGAAGAGCUGCUUGGUGUGGGACAGAA